AUUGAACGCUGGCGGCAUGCCUUACACAUGCAAGUCGAACGGCAGCACGGGUGCUUGCACCUGGUGGCGAGUGGCGAACGGGUGAGUAAUACAUCGGAACAUGUCCUGGAGUGGGGGAUAGCCCGGCGAAAGCCGGAUUAAUACCGCAUACGAUCCACGGAUGAAAGCGGGGGACCUGCGGGCCUCGCGCUAUAGGGUUGGCCGAUGGCUGAUUAGCUAGUUGGUGGGGUAAAGGCCUACCAAGGCGACGAUCAGUAGCUGGUCUGAGAGGACGACCAGCCACACUGGGACUGAGACACGGCCCAGACUCCUACGGGAGGCAGCAGUGGGGAAUUUUGGACAAAGGGCGAAAGCCUGAUCCAGCAAUGCCGCGUGUGUGAAGAAGGCCUUCGGGUUGUAAAGCACUUUUGUCCGGAAAGAAAUCCUUGGCUCUAAUACAGUCGGGGGAUGACGGUACCGGAAGAAUAAGCACCGGCUAACUACGUG
rnacentral:rRNA from 1 species